rnacentral:rRNA from 1 species
GGACGUUAGCGGCGGACGGGUGAGUAACACGUGGGCAACCUGCCCCUUAGACUGGGAUAACUCCGGGAAACCGGAGCUAAUACCGGAUAAUCCCUUUCUCCACCUGGAGAGAGGGUGAAAGAUGGCUUCGGCUAUCACUARGGGAKGGGCCCGCGGCGCAUUAGCUAGUUGGUAAGGUAACGGCUUACCAAGGCAACGAUGCGUAGCCGACCUGAGAGGGUGAUCGGCCACACUGGGACUGAGACACGGCCCAGACUCCUACGGGAGGCAGCAGUAGGGAAUCUUCCGCAAUGGACGAAAGUCUGACGGAGCAACGCCGCGUGAGUGAGGAAGGCCUUCGGGUCGUAAAGCUCUGUUGUGAGGGAAGAAGCGGUACCGUUSGAAUAGGGCGG